rnacentral:rRNA from 1 species
AACGCGAAGAACCUUACCAAGGCUUGACAUCCCUGGAAGGUCUCCGAAAGGAGACUGUGCCAUUUGGAAUCAGGUGACAGGUGUUGCAUGGCCGUCGUCAGCUCGUGUCGUGAGAUGUUUGGUUAAGUCCAUCAACGAGCGCGACCCUUAUAGUUAGUUGAAUUUCUCUAGCUAGACUGCCCCGGCAACGGGGAGGAAGGAGGGGAUGAUGUCAGGUCAGUAUUACCCUUAUGCCUUGGGCUACAAACACGCUACAAUGGCCGGUACAAAGGGCAGCCAACCCGCGAGGGGGAGCAAAUCCCAUCAAAACCGGUCUCAGUUCGGAUUGUAGGCUGAAACCCGCCUGCAUGAAGCCGGAAUCGCUAGUAACGGUAGGUCAGCAAACUACCGUGAAUACGUUCCCGGGCCUUGUACACACCGUACGUC